rnacentral:sRNA from 1 species
UAUGAAGUAUAGUUAUUGCAUUGUGUUAGUAGUUAAGUGUAGGUUUCAUUUCACAUUCAUGAAUGAAUUUCUGAGCUUUACUUUAAAUGCAAAAAUAAAAUGCGCACAGCGCGGAGGUUUCAUUCAUAAUGGAAAACGGAACAGUUAAAUGGUUUAAUGCAGAUAAAGGCUUUGGUUUUAUUACUCGCGAAGAUGGUAGUGAUGUAUUCGUACAUUUCUCAGCUAUCCAAGGUGACGGCUUCAAGACAUUGGACGAAGGCCAACACGUUACUUUCGAUGUAGAAGACAGCGAUCGUGGACCACAAGCUACAAACGUUACAAAGAACUAAUUAACGUUUUAAAGACAACCCCUCAGAGGUUGUCUUUUUU